UGGGGAAUAUUGGACAAUGGGCGCAAGCCUGAUCCAGCCAUGCCGCGUGAGUGAUGAAGGCCUUAGGGUUGUAAAGCUCUUUUAUCUGGGACGAUAAUGACGGUACCGGAAGAAUAAGCCCCGGCUAACUUCGUGCCAGCAGCCGCGGUAAUACGAAGGGGGCUAGCGUUGCUCGGAAUCACUGGGCGUAAAGGGCGCGUAGGCGGACAUUUAAGUCAGGGGUGAAAUCCCGGGGCUCAACCUCGGAAUUGCCUUUGAUACUGGGUGUCUCGAGACCGGGAGAGGUAAGUGGAACUGCGAGUGUAGAGGUGAAAUUCGUAGAUAUUCGCAAGAACACCAGUGGCGAAGGCGGCUUACUGGGCCGGUUCUGACGCUGAGGCGCGAAAGCGUGGGGAGCAAACA
rnacentral:rRNA from 1 species